AUCUUUUUGCAGAGGCAAUUUCAUGGUCUAUGAAGUUCUACUGAGAUGUGAUUAUUGCUGGUUGGAAAUUUCACCCAAUACCCUGUCAAGAUGACUUUAAAUAUCAGUGAGCUGUGGCAAUUUUUGUUUGUCUGAAAGGAGA